rnacentral:rRNA from 1 species
AUUGAACGCUGGCGGCAUGCUUUACACAUGCAAGUCGAACGGCAGCGCGGGCUUCGGCCUGGCGGCGAGUGGCGAACGGGUGAGUAAUGCAUCGGAACGUGCCCAGGAGUGGGGGAUAGCCCGGCGAAAGCCGGAUUAAUACCUCAUACGACCUGAGGGUGAAAGCGGGGGACCGAAAGGCCUCGCGCUUUUGGAGCGGCCGAUGUCGGAUUAGCUAGUUGGUGGGGUAAAGGCUUACCAAGGCGACGAUCCGUAGCUGGUCUGAGAGGACGACCAGCCACACUGGGACUGAGACACGGCCCAGACCCCUACGGGAGGCAGCAGUGGGGAAUUUUGGACAAUGGGGGCAACCCUGAUCCAGCCAUGCCGCGUGAGGGAAGAAGGCCUUCGGGUUGUAAACCGCUUUUGUUCGGGAAGAAAUCCUCUGGGCUAAUACCCCGGGGGGAUGACGGUACCGGAAGAAUAAGCACCGGCUAACUACGUG